AUGCACGCUGGCGGCGUGCCUCAUACCUGCAAGUCGAGCGCACGGACGAGAAGCUUGCUUCUCUGAUGUUAGCGGCGGACGGGUGAGUAACACGUGGAUAACCUACCUAUAAGACUGGGAUAACUUCGGGAAACCGGAGCUAAUACCGGAUAAUAUUUUGAACCGCAUGGUUCAAAAGUGAAAGACGGUCUUGCUGUCACUUAUAGAUGGAUCCGCGCUGCAUUAGCUAGUUGGUAAGGUAACGGCUUACCAAGGCAACGAUGCAUAGCCGACCUGAGAGGGUGAUCGGCCACACUGGAACUGAGACACGGUCCAGACUCCUACGGGAGGCAGCAGUAGGGAAUCUUCCGCAAUGGGCGAAAGCCUGACGGAGCAACGCCGCGUGAGUGAUGAAGGUCUUCGGAUCGUAAAACUCUGUUAUUAGGGAAGAACAUAUGUGUAAGUAACUGUGCACAUCUUGACGGUACCUAAUCAGAAAGCCACGGCUAACUACGUG
rnacentral:rRNA from 1 species